rnacentral:rRNA from 1 species
CAGGCUUAACACAUGCAAGUCCAUGGGCAGCAUGGUCUUAGCUUGCUAAGGCCGAUGGCGACCGGCGCACGGGUGAGUAACACGUAUCCAACCUGCCGUCUACUCUUGGACAGCCUUCUGAAAGGAAGAUUAAUACAAGAUGGCAUCAUGAGUCCACAUGUUCACAUGAUUAAAGGUAUUCCGGUAGACGAUGGGGAUGCGUUCCAUUAGAUAGUAGGCGGGGUAACGGCCCACCUAGUCUUCGAUGGAUAGGGGUUCUGAGAGGAAGGUCCCCCACAUUGGAACUGAGACACGGUCCAAACUCCUACGGGAGGCAGCAGUGAGGAAUAUUGGUCAAUGGGCGAGAGCCUGAACCAGCCAAGUAGCGUGAAGGAUGACUGCCCUAUGGGUUGUAAACUUCUUUUAUAAAGGAAUAAAGUCGGGUAUGCAUACCCGUUUGCAUGUACUUUAUGAAUAAGGAUCGGCUAACUCCGUGCCAGCAGCCGCGGUAAUACGGAGGAUCCGAGCGUUAUCCGGAUUUAUUGGGUUUAAAGGGAGCGUAGAUGGAUGUUUAAGUCAGUUGUGAAAGUUUACGGCUCAACCGUAAAAUUGCAGUUGAUACUGGAUAUCUUGAGUGCAGUUGAGGCAGGCGGAAUUCGUGGUGUAGCGGUGAAAUGCUUAGAUAUCACGAAGAACUCCGAUUGCGAAGGCAGCCUGCUAAGCUGCAACUGACAUUGAGGCUCGAAAGUGUGGGUAUCAAACAGGAUUAGAUACCCUGGUAGUCCACACGGUAAACGAUGAAUACUCGCUGUUUGCGAUAUACUGCAAGCGGCCAAGCGAAAGCGUUAAGUAUUCCACCUGGGGAGUACGCCGGCAACGGUGAAACUCAAAGGAAUUGACGGGGGCCCGCACAAGCGGAGGAACAUGUGGUUUAAUUCGAUGAUACGCGAGGAACCUUACCCGGGCUUAAAUUGCAGAUGAAUUACGGUGAAAGCCGUAAGCCGCAAGGCAUCUGUGAAGGUGCUGCAUGGUUGUCGUCAGCUCGUGCCGUGAGGUGUCGGCUUAAGUGCCGUAACGAGCGCAACCCUUGUUGUCAGUUACUAACAGGUUCUGCUGAGGACUCUGACAAGACUGCCAUCGUAAGAUGUGAGGAAGGUGGGGAUGACGUCAAAUCAGCACGGCCCUUACGUCCGGGGCUACACACGUGUUACAAUGGGGGGUACAGAGGGCCGCUACCACGCGAGUGGAUGCCAAUCCCAAAAACCUCUCUCAGUUCGGACUGGAGUCUGCAACCCGACUCCACGAAGCUGGAUUCGCUAGUAAUCGCGCAUCAGCCACGGCGCGGUGAAUACGUUCCCGGGCCUUGCACACACCGCCCGUCAAGCCAUGGGAGCCGGGGGUACCUGAAGUGCGUAACCGCGAGGAGCGCCCUAGGGUAAAACUG